rnacentral:rRNA from 1 species
CCUACGGGGGGCAGCAGUGAGGAAUAUUGGUCAAUGGGCGCUAGCCUGAACCAGCCAAGUAGCGUGAAGGAUGACUGCCCUAUGGGUUGUAAACUUCUUUUAUAUGGGAAUAAAGUGCAGUAUGUAUACUGCUUUGCAUGUACCUUAUGAAUAAGGAUCGGCUAACUCCGUGCCAGCAGCCGCGGUAAUACGGAGGAUUCGAGCGUUAUCCGGAUUUAUUGGGUUUAAGGGGAGCGUAGGCGGGUUGUUAAGUCAGUUGUGAAAGUUUGCGGCUCAACCGUAAAAUUGCAGUUGAUACUGGCAGCCUUGAGUACAGUAGAGGUAGGCGGAAUUCGUGGUGUAGCGGUGAAAUGCUUAGAUAGCACGAAGAACUCCGAUUGCGAAGGCAGCCUGCUGGACUGUAACUGACGCUGAUGCUCGAAAGUGUGGGUAUCAAACAGGAUUAGAUACCCCAGUAGUC